rnacentral:lncRNA from 1 species
CGGGACAUGUUCCACCUGCGCCUCUUUGUGGACACAGACUCCGAUGUUAGGCUGUCUCGAAGAGUUCUCCGGGAUGUGCAGCGAGGAAGGGACCUGGAGCAGAUCCUCACCCAGUACACCGCCUUUGUGAAACCAGCCUUUGAGGAGUUCUGCCUGCCGAGGCCAGGAACUGUGGGUGUUGUCACCUACCUGGGCAGCAGUGAAGCUGUAAUCAGGCAAGCACCUGCAGGUUCAGUCCGGCUUAAUCUUCUCCUUCACUGUUGAGACCCCAUCUCUCACCUAUCUGAGGCUGUCCCAACCUGCCAAUGCCACCAACAUCCAGCCUUUCAUCCCGCUCCUGAGUACUUUGAAGUGACCCCGGAGGAAACAGCCUCAAGAGAGCCUUCUGUGUCUUUCAGACCAAGAAAUACGCUGAUGUGAUCAUCCCUCGAGGGGUUGAUAAUAUGGUGGCCAUCAACCUGAUCGUGCAGCACAUCCAGGACAUCCUCAAUGGUGACCUGUGCAAGCGGCACCGAGGAGGGCCCAACGGGCGCAACUACAAGAGGACCUUCCCGGAGCCAGGAGACCACCCUGGGGUGUUGGCCACUGGCAAACGCUCACACCUGGAGUCUAGCAGCAGACCCCAUUGAGGACCAGCAUAUGUAGGUUCCCCAUAGACCUGACAGAUAAAGGGUCUGGGCCUGGGGGACAACUACUGGCUCCUAAAAGCACAGUCAGGGAUCCCUCUAGUGUGAUCUUGGGUGGCAUCAGGACCAAAGCCUUCCUUGCAUAAGAGGGCAGACUCAUGCUGACCGAGCAUUCUGGUGUCCUCCGCUUCCUCUCGCUGGAGGAGGCCACAGGUCUCUGGGUGGGUCACUGUCCCAAACAGCAUAGUAAGCCUAUGGCGCCAGCUUCCCGAGGGAUGCAGGACAGACACAUGGGGCAACAGCGGAAACAGCCCAGGCACUGGCUGGCCUGGUGUUAAGACAGUGAACACCAGGGAAGUACUU